rnacentral:rRNA from 1 species
UACGUAGGGCGCAAGCGUUGUCCGGAAUUAUUGGGCGUAAAGAGCUCGUAGGCGGCCUGUUACGUCUGCUGUGAAAUCCCGGGGCUUAACCCCGGGCGUGCAGUGGAUACGGGCAGGCUGGAGGCAGGCAGGGGAGAACGGAAUUCCCGGUGUAGCGGUGAAAUGCGCAGAUAUCGGGAGGAACACCGGUGGCGAAGGCGGCCUGCUGGGACAGUGCUGACGCUGAGGCGCGACAGCGUGGGGAGCAAACAGG